GAUGAACGCUGGCGGCGUGCCUAAUACAUGCAAGUCGAGCGAACGGACGAGAAGCUUGCUUCUCUGAUGUUAGCGGCGGACGGGUGAGUAACACGUGGAUAACCUACCUAUAAGACUGGGAUAACUUCGGGAAACCGGAGCUAAUACCGGAUAAUAUUUUGAACCGCAUGGUUCAAAAGUGAAAGACGGUCUUGCUGUCACUUAUAGAUGGAUCCGCGCUGCAUUAGCUAGUUGGUAAGGUAACGGCUUACCAAGGCAACGAUGCAUAGCCGACCUGAGAGGGUGAUCGGCCACACUGGAACUUAGACACGGUCCAGACUCCUACGGGAGGCAGCAGUAGGGACUCUUCCGCAAUGGGCGAAAGCGUGACGGAGCAACGCCGCGUGAGUCAUGACGGUCUUCGGAUCGUAAAACUCUGUUAUUAGGGAAGAACAUAUGUGUAAGUAACUGUGCACAUCUUGACGGUACCUAAUCAGAAAGCCACGGCUAACUACGUG
rnacentral:rRNA from 1 species